rnacentral:ribozyme from 1 species
ACCUCGUGCUCCUCCUCCUCCUCCUCCUCCUCCAUUGUCACCACCGCCGCCACUAGCACUUGAAUCGCAAGUGACUCCACCUUC